ensembl:lncRNA
CAGAGACUCCCUUUACGCCAUGUUUCCUUCAGAGGCUCGGAUGCGGGUCCAGCAAGCAGCGAGGAUGCAAAGAGCAGAGCCCAUCUCCUAGGAGCCGGCCCUGUCCCGCGCUGCAGCCCGGCCCCCGGGAGGCCCUGGAUCCCGCCGCCUCCCAGAUGCCUGCAGAGGGCGUCCGUGUCCGCAGAGCCAGCCCGCGGCCUACCCAGCCGUGCGGGAGGUGGCUGCUUGGCUGCUCCCGUUAGGUGGCUGAACUCGCCAGCCAGACGGCAUUCAGAAUACGGAAGCAGAAAGAUCUGCAGGCGGCUGCGUACCCUGGCUGUGAAUUAUUAUUCCGAGCACAUGGCUGUUGUAAAAUUACACUAUCUGCUUAUGUAGGAAGGGAGAAACGCAGUCAUUAUUUAUGUGGCUCAAUGAUCCCGUUUACGUGUUUCUUUUCUUCAUAUUCAGUGUCCACUGCUCCCUGGCUCUGCGUGCACCGUGCUUAGAGAAGGAGGCUGAAAGAACUCCAAAAGCCUGGAGAAGAGAAGGCUGUGAGGUGACCUGAUAGUGGCCUUUCGGUAUCUAAAUGGGAGCUACAGGAAAGAAGGGAACAGACUCUUUCGCGGGGUCUGUGGUGAUAGAAUAAGGGGAAAUGGCUUCAAGCUUCAAGGGGGUAGAUUUUGGUGGGAUAUAAGGAAAAAAUCUUUUACAGUGGGGGUGGUGAGGCACUAGCAAAGGUUGCCGGAGAUGUGGUUAGUGCUCCAUCCCUGAAGGCUUUCAAGGCAAGGCUGGAUCUGGUCCCUGAUCUAGCUGUGCAUGUUCCUGUUCAUUGCAGGGGAGUUGGACUAGCUGACCUUUAAAGGUCCCUUCCAACUCUAAGGAUUCUGUGAUUCUAUGAUUCUGUGAUACAGGAGUAUCACUUCGUUGGUCAGGGAUUUGAAAAUGAUGGCUCUAUGUCCUGCAAGAUGUGGCAGGCUCUGAGGUACUGAGACAUGACUUCCUAUGCACAGCAUAGUGCAUAAGGUCACUUUUUGUUUAAUGCAUGGACUUGCAGUGUAAGAAACACUCUGGCUGAGACCACUGUUUUGCCUUUUGUGCAAACUCAACCUUUCUGAAGUGCUUUCUCAACUUGCACUCACAAAGGUGGGUGCAGGCACAGCUUGGCUUGGCCUCUCAGAGGUAUCAUCCUAUUGACUCCACACAGAGUGGAUUUCACAGGCACCUUCGACACUAUCUAUCUUUGGUACUAGAACUGAUAAAGGGAGAUUCAAGCCAUCGUAGAGUAUGUACUAUAUAUGCUGCCACCCUGUCCUCUACCUAUUUUCCUACCUACACAUUAACAAACUAACUUACAUUCAUUUCUUCUCUAAAUUUGAGAAAAUUGUGGAUGAAAUCACAUGGUAUAGUGAACAGAAUGUGGUUUGAUGUGGGAUUUUGCAGCCUGUGGAUGAAUAGUUGUGCUGGCACUGCCGUGCAGUGUGUUCCUGGGCUGGGGGUGAGGUGAUAGCAUGAGGAUCAUGAUUGCUGCACAGCUUCUUUCCCUCAGUGGCUCAAAGGCAGUGCACAGGUAGAAAGAUAAAUGUUUGUGUUUUGUGAGUCUGUUAUGCCCAUGGUGGAUAAAGGGCUGGAUAAAUCCUCCUGGCUGUCUAAUGAAGAAAACAGUGCUUCACUAAUAUUUGCCAAGUCCACCUGGGAGUCAUCAGUAUGCAGCUGUGUCCUCCAUCCUCUCCCUUCAAGCUGGGAUUUAACUACUGCCUUUUCUGCUUUCUACAAACGUUGAUUUUCACUUGUCCAUCGGAUGAAUAUUAACUGGCAGCUGGAAAGCUGCUCCUGGUACACCUGAGCUACUGCCCUGGCUCCCACUUUGCUCAACUGAUGUGUUAUAGGUUUUAAUAAAUGCAAACAGAAAAGAAGGAGGCAACAUGUUUGAACAACCAGUGGUUAUCUUGGAAAUGCUGGGAUGGAUGCCUCUUCUUGCAGGGCAUAGAUUUGGGCAAAAUAUUAAAAAAUUAUUAAGCUGUGUUCUCUGCAUGUUAGAAUAUGCCGAUAUACAUUUUGUAAAUAUAGGUCACCAUUGUUAUUUGAUAUUUACUUUGUAAUGCAGUGGAUCUCCUUAUGUACAAGGUAGUGACAUCAGAAGACAUUUUGAGUCUAAAGGGCAAUAUGUCUGGAAUAAAUAAUAUUUCUUAUUCCAGGAAUUGUUUAUUCUGAGUAACAGGAAUACUUCUGAAUUAUUAUCUUGACAUGAUGCUCUAUGUCACCCAGUCCCUUUUCUGUCAUAUUUCUCUCAUUAACCCUCUUGAGCUGUCCAGCAAUGAUGAGCUUUUUCCAGUAAUAAGAAAUAUGAAUUUGUAUUACCACUGUAUGUGCCUACACUCUGCAGAGAUCCUCUGUAGUUCGUGGCCUCAAUAGAGCAGCACUGUUUUAUCUCUAAAUGUAACAUUUUGUCCAUUUUUCACACAUUGCAUUUUACUUUUCUGCUGCAAGAAGGAUCAAAUGAAAACAACGGAUUUGCUUUCAGAUAUAUGUCCCUGUUUAAAUCAGUUACUCAGGUGAGUAGUGACUUCAGGUACCUUUGUGCCUCUAAACAUUUUUAUGACAAGGUCUGGAUCCCUUCAAUUUCUUAGAUUAAAAAAAAAAAAAAAAAGGAAAAAAAAGCAUUCAAAAAGAUUUGUUCUAAUCUCAUUUUCACCUCUCUGUAUGAGCUUGCCAAAUCUCCCAGCAGAUCUCAUUACUGUGGAGGUUUUGUACAGUUCCAGUCAAAAGAUUCAUUUGAUUUUGAGCAAAACCUAGCCUUCUACCAAAACAAAAUCUACAGUAAUAAUAGUAAUAAUAACAAUAAUUAUAAUAAAAAGAAAAAAAGGAUUCAUGGCCUAUGUGACUGAGCACAAAACCCCAGACACUUAACAAACAAAUAGAAUAAAAGGACAAACAAACAAACAAAGAAAUAUUGUUUUUCCACUUUCAUGAUUAUUAAUAAAAAAUUUCUCUCUUGUGGGUUUUAACACAGGCUUUAUAAGUGUUUGAGAUUGCCAAAAUUACAUCCCAACUUCAUGAAAGCUUAUUUAAUUAUCACUUCCGUAAGCUGAUAGUACAUUUUAAGGACAACAUACUAUUCCAGCCAGCUAAGAAAAAGAGAGAGGUGGAUCUUGGAUGUAAUGAUGCAUGGAGGAGGUACUUCUGGGACAUCUGAACUCCAAGGAAGAGCAAUAAAAAGGAGUUUCAGAAUUGCCAUUGAACUGUGACUCUCAAUAGCUCAUCUGAAUGAUGCUUCAAGAUCAUCUUCAUUUACUUACUUAGAGAAGGUGUUUGAGUCCAUGAGUCCACGCACAUGCUGGGUCUACACAUGGGACAUCCUAAUAUAUUUUGAACUCUAUGAGAAUUGGAAGAGAUAGCUUGUUGGCAAAAACUUGAUUACUGGAUUGUUUUAAAAGUGGAAUAAAUUAACUCUUAUGUUGAAUUGAAUUACGUUGACUUACUUACUUUUUAGAAAUCUGCUCAGAUCAAACCAAGGAGGGCUGAAAACUUCAUGGAAUCACAGAAUCCUAGGGGUUGAAAGGGACCUCGGAAGAUCUUCUGGCUCCUACACAUAGCAAUAGUAAAUAUUUUUAUCUAUCAGUGGGAUGGGGGAGAGAAGUGACUGAAUGACUGUGUGGUGCUGAGCCACCUGCUGGGUUAAACCACAACAGUUGAUUUGAUGCCCAAUGUUGUGCUUAUCAUGGGGAUUGGAGUGACCACAGGACUGGUUGUGAGAGCUGCAACACCUACAGGACUUGUCAGAAGUAUUAGAGUAACCACAGGAUCUGUCAAAAAAGUGAGAGCAGCUGCAGGGUCCAUCACAGGAGCUGGAGGAACCACAGGACUUGUCACAGAGUUUGGAGCAGUCAAGGGCUUGUUGCAGGAGUUGGAGAGUCCAUUACAUUGUCAUCAGAUCCAGAAGUAUUCUCUUCCUGUUGAGAAUGCUGAAUAAUGUUGAACGGAGCUUGACAGGCAUAGGCCUGACCCCAGCAUGCUGCAAUGAUUUGUGCCUCUUUAGGAUUGCCACAGCAACAGCAGACCUUUUGCAAAUAUUCUACUAGUUUUUCAGAAUUUUGCAGUUGUUCCAAGGUGAAGUUCCAAACCACUGGGGGUGCCCACCACUCUAGGCACCUGCCCAUACUAUCCCAUACUCCCUACUACUCAGAACAAUCCUGCCUCGGGGCAGAUCUCUGGAUGAUAUUCGUAACUAAUUGUUUAAUCUUAAACAUGACCUGGGACACAUUUACAUCACAUAGUGAUAGUGGCAUGUUGGCUUGAGCAUCUCAGAGAUAUUCAAAAUUCUUAAGAGCUAUUGCAAUUAGCUUUUGAGCUCUAUGGAAAGAAGGAAAGGCGAAAGAAAGGCUGAUGGACUGCUGGAAAGUGUCCUCCUCUAUCUCCUCAUUAGCCAGCCUCUCUGAGGAGACAAUGCAAGAGGUGUAAUUACUAAUAGUAUCAACAAUAUGGCUUCCAAAACCCAAAGGUGACUGCUAUGCCAAAUGCACACAAAACACUUUCUCAGCUGUCAAUUUUAUCAUAAUAUAAGCUAAUACCACACACAGCAUAGAAAAUAAAAACCUUAAUCCAACCCCCAUAAUGGACAAACAAACAGCAAGCUAGGUACUACGAAGUAUAGUUAAGACUCUCAAAUUGCUCUGUAAAUAUGGAAAAAAUCAACCUCAACAUCGUGAGCAGCAAUUAUCAAACUACCACAACACCCUGUGUUAACACAGUCCGCUCAGGUCUGCUGUUAUCUCAACCCUCUGCCCCACUUUGGGCAGCAAAUUGACUAUUGUGGUUUAACUGGCAGGUGGCUCAGCACCGCACAGUUGUUUGCUCACUCCUCUCGCACAAACUUUGUGGAGCUGAGCCACCUGCUAGGCUAUACCACAAAAUUGACUUUAUUCAUCCUCAUAUUACAUAGUCAUAGUAAUAAAGAAUUGGUCAAAUAAGACUGUAGAGGAGUUACAAUUUCACUGGACUGACUUAUCCCUAAAAUGAAUAAAUAUUUAAAUCUGAGCAAUCAUAUGGCAACCACACACAUUAGAUGUUUAUUGCCCAGUGCUAGCCUUGUAGUCACACCAUUUGUCUUCUUCUAUUUUCCUUUGUAGAUUAUUUGAUGAUGUUGUUUUCAGUUCACUUCAUAUGGCUCUUUUUUUACUCCUCACAAAUUGCUGGAGACUAAUGGGACAAUUCUUCAGCAAUUACACUGAAACGAUCACAGAAAUGCCCUGGUUCUAUUUCACGUUUCGAUACGUGGGAGCACUGCAUGCUAUCUUGUCCCUUGAAUUUCCUGUAUAUUAAACCUUAAGAAAGAUAUUAAUCAGCACCGAGUAAGACUACUGACACUGAUGAAUUCCUUUUUAAUUGUUCAGUGUAUAGUCCAGACAGGGCAUCAGUGCAUCAACCAGGCAAGCCAGAUGAGAUCUGAAUCACAGAGGGUCUAGGAUGCUGGCAAUCAGUCUACUCACACUGUUCCUGCUGUUUCCUAAUUCCUCAGCUUGUGUGGUAGAGAAGCAGAACUCAGCACUUGCACUCCUCACUUGGUACUCCAAAUGCAGGUCCCACAGGGGUCUUUCUGCAGCUAUAGUUUACAGAAACAUGUGCACAGUGCACAGUACGCAUCACUGUUGUCAGAGGUGACAAGAGCAAUUUUUGCAGUUAUACUUCAUUUAUAGCCCUGCUAUAUAUAUACAUUUGAUUCUUGUAUGUGGAGAACAAAGCCUUCUAGGCUUAAAUAUUUCAGUACUUGUAAGACCCUAGGCAAAUAGUCUGGUGGUAACAGACAAGUACAAGAAAAUAUUUCUUGGAGGUAUCUAAGAGAACUCAAGUGCAGCAUCCCUUUAGAGAUCCAACUUUCCUUUAUAGUUCUGUAAUCUUCUGCAAAACAAUCUUUUUUCUCUGUACAGAAAGCCAGUUUUAUCGCUGUAUAUCUUAUGGAAACAACUACCUAAAUAAAUCAGUAUCUUUUAUUAAGAAAGAACUCUUGAAAGUGUUUGUAAUGGAGCGGUUCAGAUUGCUUUUUCUUAAUGUAUUUGGUUCCAUUCUUUGCCUUCAGCAAUUGCCUAUCACAAAGCUCCAUGUGGAGAUAGAAAUCAAACCAGCAGAGGAAAUAACUGAAUAAGAAUGAAGUUGUUUGUGGAUCUCCUUUCAUAUUGUGUGAAAUUCACUGAUGUAUACUUUUUGAGAUGAGAAUAGUAUCUCCCCUUCUGCAGUCUUUCUUGUAAAACGUUGAAUAAACUGGAGGCACCAAUAAAUAAAUGGUGAAAUUACCUAAUGCAACCACACUGACACGAGUAUUCCUGUUUGUGGACGGUUAUUUACAUUGGUAUUUCCAGCUAAUUUACUAAAAAUUCUGGACUAAGGAAUUAUCUGCUCACAGAGAUAAAGUGUGUGGGUUACCAAGCCAAUGUUUACUCUCAUCUCUUGGUUUCACUGUUCUUGGAAUUGGAUGUGUUGGGAAGUUACAACUUACAUGAGUAUGUGUAGAUGUUGUUACUAGAUUCGAAGGUCAAAAGUGCCUAAGAGGUUCCUACAUUUAGAUACAGAAUUUGUAUUGUCUUAGGCUGGAUAAUUGUACUUUGCUAUCUUAGCUACUUAGACAAUUAAAAAAAUAUUAUUGAGUAUUUCUUUCAUUUUUUAAAUCUCUUUCAUUUUUCCACAACAGUUUUGGUUCUUUUUUUUUUUUUUUUUUUUUUAACAAAC